AUAAUGCCAUUCAAUAUUCUCAUCUCAAUUUUUCUUAUUUCUCUAUUUUCAUCAUCUUCCACGGUUAACCUAUCUACCACCAAAAUAACAACUUCCCGUUGAUUCACCUUGAACAAGUUUGAUCUUGUUCCAACAAAACCUACUUCCACGCAUCUCAGACUACAUGCGAAAAUGAAAAUAAGCCUAACGGAAGCGAGAUCCUACCUGCGAGGAGGAGAAGUUCCUCAGUGAGCGUUGAAUCCGAAGUUAUGGACGAAGGUGAACAAUCUGCACGAAGAUCCUCAAAUGGAACUUCAUUGAGUUGCUGUUAGGAGACGCACAGGAAUCUUAUCUGCAAAUUCGGAGUUGAGUUACGGCAUCCGGUUUUGCCUUGGCUGGUGUCUUGCCUUGCGUUUCUCGCUUUCCUUUCUGUUCAUUCCCGUCAAUAAAACAAGGGAGUGAUAGUAAGCAGUAACUGCAUAUAAUGGCACGGAUAUCAGCUGUAGCGCCGACAAUAGGACACGAUCAGGAGCACGGGAUUCCAGAGAUUUAAAAGCAGCAACAACAUAUAAUGGCACGGUACAGACAAUCUUGAAGACAACCUUGCAAGUGGCUGUUCUAGCUAUCCCUUUCAAGGGAGGAUAAAUGUUGUUUUAGUUGGGUGUGUUUACUCUGUUACGGUUAAGGCCCGCGUGUGACUGUGUAGCAUAAGAUGUGUUUGGAAAUAUGUUGAUGGUAGCACACUUUGCUUGGUAUGACAUGCUAUGGUUUAUUGAAAUAUUACUGCUGACGUGACUUGUUUGUGAAUGUAGUGAAGCUGAUUAUAUUGCUGAGUCUGUUAUGAACCCGAAUGGUUAAAUGAUAACCUGUUAGAAUUGUCGAAAAAGAGUUAGCUGAUGGUUGGUACAUUUGCAGUUAAUUGAGAUGUGGAGUUAAUCUUCUGUUUUCGGGUGUGAAGUUAGGGAGUGAAAUAGAUUAGUUAUGUCAGGAAAAAUGAUGCAGAUUGGAAACUCAUUAUGCAGGUGAAUUUGUUUUGCAGGAUUUGAGUUGUCGGAGCUUGACCUAAUGGUGAAACGGGCUUGGUGAUUUGGCUUCGCGCAACGGAUUACUGAGAAUCAUGGUAUUGCAGCUUGGUUUCGGGUCUGCGAAUUGGUCGUGGUGUAGUUUUCUCUUGUUCUCUUACAGGUCCAGUGACUGGUAUGCUUAACCCAUGGUGCAGCAGGCUUGACGCUUGAAAUCGGGCAUGGGCAGUUGGAAGUUAGGGAAGGUUAUGGAUCAGAUAGCUUCCAGGAAAUGGUGGUUAGGCCGAUGAAAUCAGUUGGUUGACCGCCAAUAGACGUGAACAAAGGUGGCGGUUGCUGAUAUUGCAGAGUAUGCCGCAGGUCUGCAUAAUUGACGGGUGAUGUCAUUGUCAAUGCAAAAGGUGUCAAUGAAGUGACAUCGGUUGGGAAAGUUGUGAAGCUGCCCGUAGCCGGAGUUGCUCGUGAAAAGCCCAGAACUUAUUGGAUUCACGUUGCAUCAGGUAGUAUGCAUUUGGCUUUUUAUUUCCGUUAAAUUAUAAAACGUUAGAUUUCUUUUCUGUGAAAUGAAUGUGCGUUACAUUUAAUGAAUUGAUUUGUUAGGGGAGAUUGUGUUUGAUUUUGGUGAUGAGUCCCGUUGAAUCGGUAGUGGCAGGGUAAUUAAAUACGUUUGAAAGGUUCUGGAAUGCAUUUGGUUGCAACUAUUUAACAGAACAGAAGGCGCCGCAUUAGAUGGCUCCAAGCUAAAAGGCUUUUCCACGAUGCGUUUUCCAGCCUUUUUGUCUCCCUGAACCCUACAAGCAUUUGACAAUAUUCUAUACACUGUAGCAGAAACUUCAAAAGGCACCGACAAUACCACCUUCUCGGUUUCUUGUAUACGCACUGCACGACUAAGGGCAUCGACGAGACAAGAAUAGUGUUCAAUCUCCAGCUCACUUUCAUAGUUUUUCAUUUGCUGCAGGAUUAUUGUUGACAUGUUUACGGGUUGCCUUGAGGUCAAUGUGUCAAACUAGAAUUGUAUGGGCCAACUGUUUGCACUUUGUAAUCACUACUAAAAGUGGCAGAUUGAGGCAAAGGGCUCACGGAUCAUUGCACUAACAAUAUGGCACUUCCUGACUAUAAGGAGAUGAUUCACUAGGUGGUCCCGUUGUGAUGGAGCUAUUUGAGAUGCAGCUUCAUGGUUUAUGAAACUUGAACCAAAAAUUCUUGGGACAUGGCCCUGAGCUGGCUUCAAUUGGAAUUGUAGGUUGUCCAAAACAGUAAAUUUUGGGGCUUCUACCAAAAUCGUAGUUUUGUAAUUGUCAAGUAUUGUAGCAACUCCUUUUCUGAUCAUGUCAGCAGUUUUAUGUUCUACUUCUAUUUUCUGUUUUUCUGCUACAACUGCACAAACAUUCCCCGUUGGUAGUACUGUGUUGUUGGUUGUCUGCAGCAUGUUUUUACUAUCCUUGUCUGAGACAUUUCCUUUUGAUAAACAGUACAGUGAUCUAAGUUCUCCAUCUUGGAACUCUACCAGUGAGGGGAAACCAUCCUGCGAGGAGAAUGCCAAAUAAUAAGAAUGCCAAAUAAUGGGCAUCAACUGACCAAGUAGUAUUUGCUACUAGAGCAUAGUGAAGACUGGCGAAUAUAACUAUUGGAGAAGUGGAAUGAGUUGGUUCUCGAAAUUAUUGGAUAUUGAUUGGAUGUGUGUUUUCUUUGUAAAUGGAUAUUGGGUUUGGGCUAUUGGGCUUAGAGUUGUUUUGAAGCUAUUAUUUUGGACUGCAAAUGUUGUGUGGAAUAUGUGUAAUGUGACUUUGAAAUGUAAUGGCUUUGUGAUUAAAAUUAUAACGUGAUUUAUGUAUGAAAUUGAAAUGUGAUUGCGAUGGUUAACUCAA